GAUGUUUUCCACUUUCACAGUGUUACUGGAAUUCUACAUAGCGUUGUAUGUAUGUGUCAAUACCCAAUUUCGUCCGGAUUAUUUUUAUAGUUUUAUUGCAUUUUGGUGGUCACAUAUUUAACCUUUUUAUUAUUCAUUUACCUAUUUUCGUUUUUUAGUUCUAUUUAUUUUAUCUUAUUGUUUUUAUUACCCUUUUUCUUUAUUGCUAAUUUUGUUUUUAUUCUAUCUCUUUUUAUUUAUUUUACUUCUUUUCCUUUUAAUUUUUGUUUUUUGUUUUAUUUAUUUAUUUAUUUAUUUACUUUUAUUUUUAUUUUUAUCUUUUCAUUUUGUUUAUAAUUAAAAAAUUAUUAUUAGUUAAAAGGUUUUAAAAUUAGAUUAAAUUAAAAUAAGUUUUAAAAAAAAAAUGAAUGAAAAAAUGAGAAAAAGACAAAUUGGCAAAAAAAAGAGGGGACACAGUGGAGGAAAACGGUUUUCUGCUGCAAGGAGACAAAUUGAUUUUGGGUAGGCAAGGACAAAGGAGUUUUGGGGAGAGCAGAGGCGCGAUUUGGUUUGGCAGAGCAGAGGAGAGGAGAGCAAAAAUCGUUACUAAAAAAAGUGGCAGGCGGGAUGAGACAAUAAGGACAAGGAGGUGGCCAAAAGAGCACAACGAUAACAACCUAAGCAGAAAAGAGGGCACACAGGGGUUGCAUUUUGGUCAUCACUCAUUUUACAAAGAGAAUAGACAGUGAAAAAAGAAAGGAGGAAGGAGCACUGAUUUUUCUCUACAAAGAACAAUUCUCCUACUGCAUCGAGAACGAAGGGAGCUGUGAGAGCAACGUUUGGAACUGCGCCGAGAGAGGAGAAGGAAACCUAUCAGAUACGCGAGGUUGGGGCUGGCAAUCGAGUCUUCAAAAGGUAAGUGAGGCUGCCUUACACUUCAUGUUUUUGUCCUUGAACGUAUUACUGGUGCAUUGCUGCAUACGACUAUUAUCAAAUAUUUUCCUGCUAUGUUGUGAACAUUAUGUAUGGUAUUGAUGUAAUGAAUCCUUCCCGUCACCAUCACUACCCCCACUGUCUCAUGCCCUGUUCUUUCUUCACCCACGGAGUCAACAACCGAGCCAAAAACGAUACCCUAUCAGCACCUUCAUCACACCUUUCUUGGCCACAGCGUAACCACCGCUCCUCCCCUUCCAUUUCCAACGACCACGACGCAGCUACCAAUCUUUCCAAUCCCACAACCCCUCAAACACUGCUUCGACCUUCUUAGCUCACCCCGGUCAUCAUAGUCGUCCUUCACCUGCAAGAGAAAACGAAAACAACGUAAAGCAAACAAACAGUCAGCCAAUGUUCCAGCCCAAACCCCUCACCCUUUUCCAUUUGAUCUCGGCAGCGAGAGACUCUAGUUCAUCGUUCUUCCUCUGAUUCCUCCCUCCUGCAAGAGAGAACAACACUCCAUGCCAAAUCCUCCUUGAAACCAACAGUACCCAUGCUCCGUUCAUCUCCAAUCAUCAAUAGAGGAGUUGAAUCCUCUGUGUCAAAUGCAACCACCAUUCGAAGAACCUUGAAUGCAAACUUGGGAGAGUGCAAUGCUCUUUCUUUAACCCAAACCCAGCAACAUCAUCACCCUCAAUCUGCAUUACAUGAAGUCACAAAAAUAAAACCAAAAAAAGAAGGAACCAGCCAAAUCAGAUUCAACCCCAAAUCCCCAUCAUUCCCACUCGAACCCAUCAUCCUCAAUACACCCACACGCACAAUACAAAACACACACUCACUACACUAUCGGAGGAUCACGCCCAGGCAAGCAGAGCUCGCGUUUCGAAGAGGAAGGUGAAUGCAUAGCUGUUAGAAGUAUGGUCGAGCGGGGAAUGCGCAGCGGCGUCGAUGUCCAACCUCGUCGGUGGUAGCCGUUCGGAAUUCGAAGAGGAAGAAGAGGGGAGGCGUUGCUGCGGUGCGUGAAGAAGAUUCGUGUGGUGGCUGACACGGUUGUGCGAUGGGAGCUCGGGUCGCCUUCUGGAGGCACGAUGAUUGCUCGUGAUGGUGGUCCGGCGAGAGGUUGGCGCCUCGGUGGCGGCGACGCGCGGAGGUUGGGGCGGACUAGGUACGCGAAUGGCGGGCGGUGGUUCUGGCGGCGCGGCGGACGGAUGAGAGUGGUGGCAGGAGGUCCGCGAGUACUUCCUCUAGGUUUUCUCGCUCAGAGAAAAGGGUUGGGAGUCUCUCUGUCUCAAGUUUGAGUGAGUGAGAAAUGAAGGGGAAUGUUUGAACCCCUAUAGGACUCUAGGUCCGAAGGGAGCAAAGAGGGCCUGUGUAGGAUUCUGGGCCAUGCUCUAGUCGCACCCCCCUUUGCUUCCAUCCACAGCCCUUUCAUUUUCUGUCUGGGCCACUGAACCCAAAACUAAAAACCGUCCCAUCCGCACCCCCUAUUUCCCAUUCUUGCACCCUCUUUGAUUUCCAGCUUGGGCCACUGGACCAAGUGAAUAAUAAUCAAAUAAAAAAAAAACUUUUAUUCCCGCACCCCCUUUUUUUAUUCUCACACCGCUCUGUCUCAUUUUUUGGGCUCAUAUUAGGCCAAACAAAAGGUUCUCUCUUGCACAACCCCUUGUUUCAUAUUCACAUCCCCUUUUCCAUUUGGGCUUAGGCCC
rnacentral:lncRNA from 1 species